rnacentral:misc_RNA from 1 species
GAUGAAGAACGCAGCGAAAUGCGAUACGUAGUGUGAAUUGCAGAAUUCAGUGAAUCAUCGAAUCUUUGAACGCACAUUGCACCUCUCGGUAUUCCGGGAGGUAUGCCUGUUCGAGCGUCAUUUGUACCCUCAAGCUCUGCUUGGUGUUGGGUGUUUGUUCCGCCUCUGUGUGUGAACUCGCCUCAAAACAAUUGGUAGCCGGCGUACUUGUUUCGGAGCGCAGCACAUUUUGCGAUCCAGAUCAACGUACAGCGGCAUCCAAGAAGCCUUAUUUAACGCUCUUGACCUCGGAUCAGGUAGGGAUACCCGCUGAACUUAAGCAUAUCAAUAAGCGGAGGA